rnacentral:tRNA from 1 species
GUCUGGGUGGCUCAGUCAGUUGGGCGUCUGACUUUGGCUCAGGUCAUGAACUCACGGUUCGCGGGUUCGAGCCCUGCAUCGGGCU